CCGGUCCGGGCACGUCACUGAAAAUCGUGACGAUUAUGACAAUUGACGUGCCAGGACCGGCACGUCUUUAAACGGGUGAAAAAAUCGAUCCGUGAUCGAUUUUUUCACUCAAACGGUGUUGCUCUAAUGCCUCGACAUCGAGGCAUUGAGCAACACCAAAAAAAACAUUCCCGCCCCCCCCCCGAUCGCUCCUAGGAGCAAAAAAAAAACAUGUUUGAAAGACUGCACGUCUUUCAAACAUGGCGGCACCCGCCGCCGAAAAACGGGUUUAGGAAGCGAUCGCGAGUCGCUUCCUUUGCUUAGCUGGUGUUGCUAAGAUGCCUCAGCUCUUAUAAGAGCCACCCAUAUAAUAUUAACCCCUUCAUUGCCAUUGAUCACUGCAUAAACAGUGAUCUUGCAUAGUGGCAAUUGUUUUUGGGGUUUUUUUUUUUUUUUUACAUUUUUUUUAACUUUUUUUUAGGUUUUUUUACUUUUUUUUAGUUUUUUUUUUUUUUUUAUUAUAGCCAUUAACCCUUUCCUUCCCCACUAUUUUUGCUGCAAUUCUUACCAUGCAGCGGUAUACGGCUGAGGAGGCGUAUGCCUUUUUGGCCACAGAUUCUGAGGCCACUGAUACAGCGUCAGAUUUUGACGUUGGUCAGUUCACAGAUACAUCUAGUGAUGUAUCUGUGGCUGUUAGGACGCCUGCCACACGUAGUCGUGGCAGUGCACCAGAGGCAUGGGUAGCGCCUAAUAGGUACAAGCCAGCUAUCCCUCCUUUUUCUGGAAUUCCUGGCAUCAAUAUUGAUGUUACAGGAUUCACUCCACUGCAAUUUGUGCAGGUUUUUUUGGGAGACGAUGUCUUGGGAGACAUUGUCACACAAACAAACAUUUAUGCCCAGCAGCACCGUGCUGCUAGCCCUAAUUCUUUUUGGGCAAAACAGCCAUGGACUCCCAUUGACGUGCCAGAAUUUCUUAAAUUCUGGGCACUCACAAUGUUAAUGGGCAUUAUAAAAAAGCCCUCCAUCCGCUCCUACUGGAGCACCAGCCCCAUCUUUAGUACCCCCAUUUUUGCCCAAACUAUAACUAGGCAAA